AUGUUCUUGAAGUUUUCUUACUUCUAUAUUUUUAGCUCUGAAUGAAAUUAUUGACUGAAAAUUGUCCUAACCCAUAUUUUAGUAUGUCCAGGGCCAAAUUGUUAAUUGGUAUUUUAGUAAAACAAACCUGAAGAAUUAUCUCCAUAUGUUAACUUAGUGGGCUACCCUAUCAAAGCGACUCAAAUAGAAUUAGAAUUAAAGGAUUACAGAAGUUAAACCUGAGCAUACAACAUACUAAGCCAUGAAUUACUAACGUAAUCCUCUGGUGCAUAUUUGUCGUCAAAGUAGUCAAGCUCAAGCAGGUAAGCAACCAUGCAGACAAGGUUGAAAACAAAAGAAGGUUUCCUGCUUUGAUUGGUAAGUCCUGCUCUUGUUGUUAUCGUGGUUUUGAUGAGUUACAUCCAGAAUAUAUGUUUUGUCAUACUUUUCCCUUUGGUUUUGUUGUUUUAGCCUGAUGUAUUAUAUUUUGCAGUGGAAAGAUCCAAAGUUUUAUGUCCAAAUUUAAGUUGGGUCACAUUCCUGCCCUUCUUUUUGUUGCUUCUGCCUCGUGUAUUAUCAUAGUGGAAAGAACCUACAUUGUUAUAAACAUUCAGGUGUGUGUAUCAAUAUUUUUCAAUUGGAAAGGACCUAGGUUACGCACUUAGGAAUCCUUACAGAAAUCAAAACAAGCUACAUCUGUUAAUUGGUAUUUAAUGUUAUCUUUACAAUUUGACUUGAAAACAGGACGGCUAGAGAGCUGUACUCUGCAGAAGUGGCUGCUCAAAUUUUGGCUAUCCCUGUCUCGAGAUGUGGAGUUACUGAUAAGCUGAUGUGGCCUCAUACAACACAAAUAUGGUAUACACAAGCCUAUGAUAAACAACAUGUGGAUCAGAGUAACUGCAGGAGAGUACCAAGGCGAGUGUGUCUGGUUGUGAAGGGAUGGCAUGUGUUGCUGACUGUUGAGAGGCACAGGCAGAGAAGUUGCAAAUGGGGUUGUUUUGCCUAUAAAUAUUGGGCUGGCAGGAUAAUUUUUCCUGGCUGUUGCAGUUCUGCCAUAUGCAUACGAGUGGCAGCGUACUGUAUGAGAAGCAUUAACUAAGGCUCUACAGAGUGGUUUUUCCAGACUUGUUUUGGUUAGUGGAGGAUUGGAAAAGAAGAAGGUUCCUUGGCAACUUGCUGUGCUGAUUGAAGACCUGAAGAACAAGGAAGUUGGAUAAUGCCAGUGGGUGUACAUUUGCUGAGCUUAGGAGUCACCGCAGAAGCUAGAGCCCUGGUUACUCUUGCUUCAAACUAUUUUAUGAACACUUGUUGGGCUUGAAACUCUAUUACUAGAGAGUUAAUUUUAGCACUCUGAAUAAUAGAGCCAAUUUGUUUCAA